AGAGCGAUCAUUACCUGUGUCUGAUAUAACAUUCAUUCUUCAGGUCGAUGUCCAUAAUAUUAUAUCCAAUAUAAUAAUCUCUGCUGAGGAAAUCGAUCUUUGUAUUUGUCCUUUUUACAGAUAAAGGGAAUUUUCCGUAACAUAUAGCGCUAAAACAACAUCCUUUGCAGAAGUUCCUUUCAAUUUAAACGUCUCUUGCAACUGACUCAUUGAAUGAGUCUCAUUCACUCGUAAAGUUUUGCCACAAUCUAAUGGCGUAUUAAUGUAACUUUCACUCAAUCCAUAUUACGCCCUUUUUUUGUAAUUUAUAAAAAAAAUAAAAAAAAUCAAUGCUAUUGGUCACUCUUUACACCUGUAUGUGGGUUUUACAAAUAUUUAAUGAAUUAAAAGGAUUUUAAAGAGCUUGUGACAAAACCUAGUAACUCUAUUGGAUCCUCAAACUGUCAGUAAAAACCUCAUAAAUCCGCCACACCUCUAUCGUGAAUGUUGCACGCAGUUUGGAGAUCUCUGCUUCUUUGCAAUGCAAAGGUAAAUAAAGAUCUGAUGUAUGGAAAAAAAUGGCAAUAUGCUAUGCUAUAGAGGAUGUAAGUUAAAUGUAGCCUUAAUAUUACAUUAUCAAAUUUAACAUAGCACAAUUCGAUUUGCUCUGAGAAAAGUAAUAGAUUAAUAAAACCAAAGAUUGCCCAUUUUAUGUACCCAAAAUGAAUUAUAUGUCAUGUUUAACUACUGUAAGACACAGCAGAAAAUCCCGAUGCACUGGCCGAGAUGAAGCUGAUCUCGACAUGUACACGAGCACUGAACGGCUGCUGAUGGCCUGGAGCUCGCAUCUCUGAAAACGUCUAAACAAACUUUAAAAUAGGCGCUAUGUUUAAAUGAAGAAUUGGGUUCCAAAACACUAUAAAUGCCUUUUUUUUUUCUUUUUUUUUUUUUCUUUGAGUUCUUGCCAAAAUCAGUAUUGUAUCUGGUCAGUGUUGAAAAGUCAAUUCUUAAUUUUACUCAAAAUCCGCCGUGUUAUUCUGUCAUGUUUUCUCCCUAUAUUUCCAAACUGCAACAAACGCCAGUCUCCCUUCUCUGCAGAAUGCGAUACAUCUGCUCAACCAAUCACAGCACUUUGAAUACACCCGGCAUCCUAGUUUUCCUUAUCUACUCUGUACUUUGUGAUCAACAAAAACAGAAAAAUGAAUAAUUUUGACGGCAUUGAUUAACAUGUGGUGGUUUCUGCGGUGAAUAAGAAAUGUAAGCCAUCGAAAUCUAAUCAUUUAUGUGAGAAGAUUAAGAAACAUCUGAUAGAAACAAACAAACAAAAAAAACAUAACAUGAUUACUAUUUGAAUGUUUGCAGUAUAGCGACGCCCCUGGGUAGUUGCGGUCAAUUCCAAUGUAGUCAGCAAAUGUGUUGUUUUUAUUUUAACCAUGCGGUGGCGCCAGAUACUCUUUAAUUGGAGUAAAUCGGAGGCAUAAUUUAUAACAUUAACAAGAUGACCCGUUGAAAUCAUUUUGUGAGCAAUGACAGAAUGUAUUUUUAGUCCAGUGCCUGUAUAUAAGAUUAGUAUUGACCAAGUUCAGAGGCUGUCAUAUGUGGGUCAGCUUACUUUGUGUAUUUUCAACAGUUUCAAAAUGAAAAAUAACUUUUAUAUUGAUUCAAUGGAUUAAUUGCAUUUCGGGGAGGAAAAAAAAAAGUGUCAUGGAUUUAUUGCAUUUUGGGGAGAAAAUAAUCAGUUUUUAUAAUCUUUGAAAAUCAAAAUCUGGAUUCAAAUUUUUUAAUGUUACUAUAACCUAAAGAUGUUAUGUGAACGUUUGAAACAGAAACUACAACAAGUGUAAUAUUUGCAAAAAUGACGGUGAAUUUGCGCGGCCGCCAUGACAGUCGCUUUAAGCAGAGUGAUACAAACAGUGAAAAGGUAGGAGUGCUGUUAUCACUAAAAUAUUGCACGGCUACCAGCCAAUCUAAUAUAAAUUUCUAUUUUACAGAUUAAUGUGCGUGUGACUACCAUGGAUGCUGAGCUGGAAUUUGCCAUCCAACCCAAUACCACUGGCAAACAGCUGUUUGAUCAGGUGGUGAAGACGGUGGGUCUGCGUGAGGUCUGGUUUUUUGGCCUGCAGUAUGUGGACAGUAAAGGCUAUACAACGUGGCUGAAACUGAAUAAAAAGAAGAAAGCAUCCAUAAAACUUCUGAAAGUGAAAAGCAGUGUUUUACCAUAGCAUUACAUAAAAAGUAAGUGUCAUUUUAACAUCUGUGUAAACCAGGGCUACCAGUGCAAACUGUUCCUGGAGCCUCCCAGCAGAGCACUGAAUAAAAAUGUAUUCUCUCUUAUUGGACAUACCCAGCUCAUGUCAUGCAGUACUGUAUUAAUCAGCUGAUGAAUUUAUGCAGCGCUGGGGAUGCUCUAGCAACAGUUGGGAAGCCCCUGAUGUAAACAAUCAAACAAACAAAAACAAUUCAAUUACGACUAACUCUUUUGAGGUUGGUAAUAUAUAUUUAUAUCAAAUAAAAAACAUCAAGAACAUCCAGGUAAACAAAAACACCUCAAACUAGGGUGGAUGAUUAUUUUUGUUAUUGUACUUUAUCUUUAUUAAAAAUAAGAACAAAAGUGGAAAUUACAAACAAUAGGACAAAUACAGUAAAACACAGAUACAAAUGAAAU